GCUAUAUUUAUACUAUACUUGUCACGAAUAUUGGUUACAAAAGGUUACAAAAAGGUUACACAAGAUACAUAAAAGAGGAAGUAGUUUCUGCUGUUACAUUCAAUAAUCUAAUCUUACAAAAUAUCACAUAUACAUUGUGGUUAGGCAUUUCCUGAUACAUAGAAACUGUCAUAGCUUGUGACUUCCUUUCAAUUAUGUUUUGCAAACAGUUCUGAAAUACUGACAGAUUAAUUGUUUAACCCCUAAGGACCAAAUUUCUGGAAUAAAAGGGAAUCAUGACAUGUCAUGUGUCCUUAAGGGGUCAAUAUUCCUUCAUUUCCCCCUCUUUGAGCAAUAUCUUGCUCAUACCCUAUUUAAGGAGUCCUGGUCAGACAACCAGCCAUCUGCCAUGGUAUAUUCAGGAUUGCUAGCCAAUCCUGCAGGUCUUUCAUUAUGUCUUCGGCCACUAUUCCCAUAGCAUAGGACUAGGCAUCUGACCAGUACCACAAACUUCAUAGCAAGCUGGGGAUUUUACAGGAACAGUGUUGCGUGUAUGUUUGUAAAUGCAGAAUACAAUAAUCUUGAAAAUAGCAUAAACAAGUAGAGCAAGGAUCAGAACCAUAACAAUAAUUAUUGCAAUAUUCUUUAGCUAGUCUAGGAUACUGUCAAACUUAAACAUAUCUGCCCAUGGGUGAUCAAUACCUGAAUUCCUCUUCAUUUCUAUGGACAGGUCUUCUAAUUUCUUUAUAUCUAGGGUUACUUUACCAUUAGGGCCAGUGUUCUCUGCAAUAUAGGUACAACAAACACCGGAGUCAAGUAAUUUACAGACUCCUCCCUUUUCUGCUAAAAUCAUAUCAAGGGCCAUUCUAUUCUGGAAAGUCAUUUGUGAGGUAGCCUGUAAUUGUUCAGCAAGACCUUGUAAUGCAUCUCGUGUAUAAUUUACAAAUCUUUGCUGAUUAUAAUAUAUAUAAUUAAUCCAGUUAACAUUCUUGUUAGCUGUUAUAAUGGGAAAUAUUGAUUCAAAUCCUGCUGCCACCUCGUCUCUAGCUUUAAAUUCAUUAGGGACCCCUCUUGGAAUACCAAUGGCAUCUAGAUAGAUAUGUGGGUCGAAACUACCUUGUGGGGAUUCCCUUUUCCUUCUUGUGGAAUAAGUUACAACCUUAAUUUCAGGGAGAGAGUCGCCAAAUAUAUGGAGGGGCAUGAUUAUUUUGGCUGGGGCACAUUCUCCUCUCCAGGGGGUGGGGAGUCUAGAACGUAUUUUCAUAUAGAUUGUGUUUGAUUCACUAAGGUAAUAUUACUGUAGGCGGAGCAGAAUCCUGAAGAAAAGUUAUCAACAAAUAUAAUUACCAGGGUAUACUGAGACAACAUCAUUUAAUUUAAACUUGGGUUCACCAAUAGGGUGACCCUUUUUCCAUUCUUCACAUUCUGUAGUAUUAACAGUAGUACCUGAAAACAAACUUAGGAAACAUUCCCAGUACUCAUCAGGGACAUGUAAGGAUACAGUUCCUAGUUGAGGUCUGGCACUACCACAUACAUAACAGUUUGACCUAUUGUUGGAAUGGGCAUUAUAUCUCAUCCAUUCCAGCCAUAGGUUUGUAUCUGCAUACCCUGUUUCUAACGCUAUGGUAUCUCCAAACGUGGGAUCUGCUAUGGCCAUCAUAUAACCAAGGGUUUGAAUGUGGGGCUUUAGAGGAUUAACAAGAGUUUGUCUAGAGGUAAAAUAUUUAAGGUAAAUUUCAUGGAGUGCCCAGUUUGCCCUAUAGGGGUACAUGUACCUAGCUUUGUUAGGGUCAUUCUAGUCAAGAGGGACUUCCCAUUCGUAUCCUUUUUAUCUAAUGCAUUCUGUGGCUUAUUAACCCCAAUCUGUCCCGGUGUUCCAUCCAACUGAGCCCCAAUAAUCACAAUUGUUACCCCUCUUUGAGCAAUAUAUAUUGCUCAUAUCAUCGGUUAACAUUCUCCCAAGACAGAGAAAUUUCCACAUUAUGGCAUUCCCAAGCAAUCAUGUGGUCUACAAGAAACAGAAACUCAGCAGAAAAAAAACAAAACAAAAACCACUUAAUACUUUUGCAGACAGAUAUAUAGAAAAUGGAUGUUUAAGACAGAAUGGAACUUGGGCUUAUAGCAACUAUAUUUUUGCACAACCAGGACCUUGCGUCCUAUAUUUUUUAACCAUUUCCCUAUUCCAAAAGUCCAGUCAAAACCAGUCAUAUCCUCACGCAGUUCCUCAAAACAUGGGAAUCCAUCCUUGGCACACUCAACAUAUAUCAAAAACACACAUAGUACAUCCAUCCCUGGGUCAGCUAACACUUCCUCUCUCUCUGGCUAACUCUACAAAAAUAAAAAUAAAAAUAGUUCAAUAGGUCAGCAUAGUUCAGAAAAAUAGAAUAAGUCUUUCACAGAGUAUAAAGAAAUCAGUUUAGACACCAGACAUUUUGUUCCAUAAAAAUGGCUAAGGGUAGCAAUAUGGCUGACAACAAGACAAUGUCAGCUUCCAUAUAGUUCUUAGUUCUUCUUUUGUUUGCUGGAUUUUCACCACAAAGCUCUGUACAACACCCCAAUGGUUGAAAGGGUUAUUACAGAACCAGCGGUAUUAGACAGCACUGCACCUUCAGGACUUUCCAGGUUCUUGCAUGCAAAGUUUAUGUCCUCAUAAAUAAGUAUCUCAGUUUCUUCGGCCUGCAUGGAUAAUGACCAAACAGACGUAAUUGCAAAAUACUUAUUGCAUGGUCAGCCAGAGAGAUUGGUGUGUAGUCCCAGAAAUCAGGCGGCACAAACACUCCAGGACGGUCUCUACAAUCAUACAAACACAAGGAUCAAUACAACAUCAUUAAUUAAUUACCUAGGCUAAAACUUAAAUUAGAGAUUAAGGUUAAACCCUUAAUUUGUGUAACAUGUCUUCUAUAAAGUUUUACAUAAUAUCCCUUUGGAAUGCCUUUGUACGGA